rnacentral:rRNA from 1 species
AGGGAAGAGCCCAGCGCCGAACCCCCGACCUUUUCGGUCGCGGGGAAUGUGGCGUUUAGGAGUGAGCGUGCCGGGAUCGGACACUGCAGCAAGUCCCCCUGACCGGGGCCUUCCCAGAGCGGGUGCGAGGCCCAUAGCCGCAGAGUCCGUCUCGGAUGCGAUCUCCUGGGAGUCGGGUUGCUUGGGAGUGCAGCCCUAAUCGGGUGGUAAACUCCACCUAAGGCUAAAUACCGCCGUGAGACCGAUAGCAAACAAGUACCGUGAGGGAAAGUUGCAAAGAACUUUGAAGAGAGAGUUCAAGAGUACGUGAAACUGCUCAGAGGUAAACGGGUGGGCCCUCGAAAUCCUGUGACGAGAGGAUUCAGUCUGGAGCCGCGGUCGCGCUGGUCGGAAAACCGAGUAGGGCUUCCCGAGACCGGGGCCGUCCGACUGCGAGUUUCCGUGGCACCAGACGCAUUUGUCUCUCGUCCGAAGGACGCCGCAGCCGGUUGGGCAGCGCAAGCGUGACGGCCUGAGGGGCGGAAGAUGGCAGGUGGCCAGUUGCGUGCCUCGAGCGCGUCGCUGGUUGUUAGCCGUUCCGUCAGUGGCUCGUCGCCCGACCGAGGUGUCGCUAGGCCCUUUUGGGCCGUAUCGCCUCCUCUUUAUGAAGUCGUGACAGGGCGUGGCAGGAGAGGGCUACCGCUUGCCGCACUCUUACGGAGUGGGUAGGCGAGCAGUCGUCUCCGUUGGCUGCGACGGGCACGUCGGAGGUUGGAGGCUUGCGGCGAGUAGGUCGGUCACCCACCCGACCCGUCUUGAAACACGGACCAAGGAAUCUAACAUGUGCGCGAGUCAAUGGGUCUUGAAUAGGCCCAGGGGCGCAAUGAAAGCAAAGGUCGGCUCCCGUCGACCGAGUUGGGAUCCCCGCUCUCGGGCGGGGCGCACCAACGACCCGUCCUAUGCUGUUCGCAGCUUGGGCGGAGUGUGAGCGUACACGUUGGGACCCGAAAGAUGGUGAACUAUGCCCGGACAGGACGAGGCCAGAGGAAACUCUGGUGGAGGUCCGCAGCGGUUCUGACGUGCAAAUCGAUCGUCAGAUCCGGGU